GAUAAGGAUUUCUCACACAGAUAUGAUAACAUUAGAUCAGACUGGAGUAGAAUCUACACUACUAGGGAAGGUCUUCUAAAACAGUUGGAAUAUGUGGAAAGUACCACACCUUAUAGCCUAAAGUUACAAAAGGUACUUGGACGAUGGCAGAAGACAGCUGGGAGAAACUGUCCGUGAUGUUUUUCACUUUCCAGGUGUAAAAGGACAUAAAAUGAUAAUAUGUAUGAAAAGGGAAA
rnacentral:lncRNA from 1 species